rnacentral:tRNA from 1 species
GAGGGUAUAGCUCAGUGGGAGAGCGCAUGCCUAGAAUGCACAAGGUCCUGGGUUCAAUUCUCAGUCCCUCCA